rnacentral:piRNA from 1 species
CAGAAAGACCCAGUAAGAGAAAUGCCAUGUUU